rfam:Bacteroides sp. CAG:189 genomic scaffold, scf258
AUGCAAAUCAGCCUGAAGCUCUUUAUGCAUAUGCGAAUACCCAUAAUGAAGCGACCGUAUGCCUCCCCGGCAUAGACAGGUAAGA